UACGUAGGGGGCAAGCGUUGUCCGGAAUCAUUGGGCGUAAAGAGCGCGUAGGCGGAUGACCAAGUUGGGGGUGAAAUCCCGGGGCUCAACCUCGGAACUGCCUCCAAAACUGGUCGUCUUGAGUAUGGGAGAGGUGUGUGGAACUCCGAGUGUAGAGGUGAAAUUCGUAGAUAUUCGGAAGAACACCAGUGGCGAAGGCGACACACUGGCCCAUUACUGACGCUGAGGCGCGAAAGCGUGGGGAGCAAACAGG
rnacentral:rRNA from 1 species